rnacentral:tRNA from 2 species
GCCCCGGUAGCCCAAUCGGCAGACAGGCAGCACCCUCAAAAGGUGAACAGUGUGGGUUCGAGUCCCACCCGGGGCA